GAAGCCCAUCACAUUAUUUGAAAGAUAUCUAAGAGACAUUUUAAUUUGUUUGAAUGAAGUCUCCUCCAUAAUGUUCCUAGUCUCUGAUAAAUGCAAACUAUAGUCCAGAAUCUCUGGUGGGUUCAAUGUGGGCAAAGAGGACACCCACACAGAUCCAACUGUAGAAUUGGGACCAAAGGACUGAACCAAAAUGAAUUGGGAUAUUCAGUCCCCUCACAAGGCCAAUCCCUCUUUGCAUUAUUUUAAAUAAAUUUAGAGAUGUUCCCAUGGAAAUUUUAAAUUUGAACAGACUUGCUACUGAAAUACUGUAUCCACAGAACAGGUAUAGCUUGAGCAGCAAUUGUGAAAGCUUCGUUGAGAAUUGUCAGCUUGUCACAUUUUACAUAUAAGAGGUUCUUUGUUCCAAAGGGAUAAACUGUUGUUGUCUGAAGGAAAAUGUAGAGUAUUACAGAUAAAGGUAUACUGAGAAACAGAGAGAGAGAAAGCAACUUAUGCAACAAGCUGGUGCUGAGGCAGGAAUGGAACCUGUAAGUCCUGACUCCUUGUCCUAUGCUCUAACCACUGGAAACACUAUUGUGUACGUUGUUAUGGUAGAAGAUCUGACUCACCAAAGGAAAUACUUGUAUGAUAAUAUGUAGGUUAGGAAAAAGUGCAUAUUUUUCAAAAGUUACAAUUUUUCUGCCAUGAAUUAGUGUAAUUUCUUUCUCUAUUAUCCUGCAGUCCCUUUUUGUUUUUCUCAAACCCUCUAACUACUGGCAGAAUAAAUG